GCAAGAGGCAAUGAAAGCAUGCCUAUCCAAAAUGACAAAGUGCAUGAAGAAGUGGGCUGACAAGAACAAACGCCCAUAAGAAUUCCAAGAAGGGGACUUAGUGUUGGUAAAGCUCUACCAACAUGGCAAGGGUGCGAAGGGUUAAUAUUAAGGAUUAUUAAGAAGAUAUGAGGGGCCCUAUUCAAUUGUCAAACAGAUUGAUAAGCAAGUCUACCUACCAAG
rnacentral:misc_RNA from 1 species